rnacentral:rRNA from 1 species
CUGAAUCAGCAUGUGUGUUAGUGGAAGCGUCUGGAAAGGCGCGCGAUACAGGGUGACAGCCCCGUACACAAAAGCGCAUAUGCUGUGAGCUCGAUGAGUAGGGCGGGACACGUGGUAUCCUGUCUGAAUAUGGGGGGACCAUCCUCCAAGGCUAAAUACUCCUGACUGACCGAUAGUGAACCAGUACCGUGAGGGAAAGGCGAAAAGAACCCCGGCGAGGGGAGUGAAAAAGAACCUGAAACCGUGUACGUACAAGCAGUGGGAGCACCCUUUGGGGUGUGACUGCGUACCUUUUGUAUAAUGGGUCAGCGACUUAUAUUCUGUAGCAAGGUUAACCGUAUAGGGGAGCCGCAGGGAAACCGAGUCUUAACCGGGCGUUAAGUUGCAGGGUAUAGACCCGAAACCCGGUGAUCUAGCCAUGGGCAGGUUGAAGGUUGGGUAACACUAACUGGAGGACCGAACCGACUAAUGUUGAAAAAUUAGCGGAUGACCUGUGGCUGGGGGUGAAAGGCCAAUCAAACCGGGAGAUAGCUGGUUCUCCCCGAAAGCUAUUUAGGUAGCGCCUCGUGAAUUCAUCUCCGGGGGUAGAGCACUGUUUCGGCUAGGGGGCCAUCCCGGCUUACCAACCCGAUGCAAACUGCGAAUACCGGAGAAUGUUAUCACGGGAGACACACGGCGGGUGCUAACGUCCGUCGUGAAGAGGGAAACAACCCAGACCGCCAGCUAAGGUCCCAAAGUCAUGGUUAAGUGGGAAACGAUGUGGGAAGGCCCAGACAGCCAGGAUGUUGGCUUAGAAGCAGCCAUCAUUUAAAGAAAGCGUAAUAGCUCACUGGUCGAGUCGGCCUGCGCGGAAGAUGUAACGGGGCUAAACCAU